UGUCCAGUAGCACCUUAGAGACCAACUAAGUUUGUUCUGGGUAUAAGCUUUCGUGUGCAUAUGCACAUGAAAUCUUAUACCCAGAACAAACUUAGUUGGUCUCUAAGGUGCUACUGGACA